GCAGGAAGUGCUCCACACGCGGGUGUUUGUUCCCUGCAAGCCAUGGAGUUUCCUGACAGUUACUAUUGACAACCGCAUGUGCCCAAGGAGCUCCUCCCUGUUCCUAUGAGGGUCCUCCUGUGAAUAGUGUACAGUGAUGCCACCAGGGCAUCUUCACCAGGCUUUCUAGGGCAGCAGCAGUGCAGGAUUGGGAGAGAACUUUAACUGUAGACCCCGCCAAAGGAAAAAUAACAAUAAAAAUAAAAUGAAAUAUUCGGACUACUGGACAUCUGACACAAAAUCAAGCGGUUCAGAUGAGAACGCACAUGAAAAAACCGCACCUUCCACCAGUAGAGACGGCCCUUUAGAAGAAAGAAAAUCCAGAGAGGGCGUAGGCGGAAAACAAAACGCUCAAAUAAAGAGGAAGAAAGUGUCAUGGAGAUCCUGAAUAAUCCCAUGGCAACAGAAACACCUAACCCUACCAUCAUUAACCUUACAGAAUUAGAACUGGAGAAUGCCACCAUCUCUUUACUAACAAAGGGAUUGAACUAUUGUAUAACAGAGACAUUCAACAAAACAGACUUUGAAAUUGAUCUCUUUAAGGGAAUUCGUAAAUUAUAUCUAAAAAAACUCUUUGAGAAAUGCCUCAACCGAAGAAAUGAACUGUCUAUCCACUUUAAUGGAUCUUUUGGACGAAGAGGAGGAACAGGAUAUAGAGGAAGAAUACCUCACAGUAAUGGACUUUAGGGGUGGACUUAAAUCUACCUUUUGUCCACCUACCCAGCCCGGAUCUAAUAUAGACCUCUUCGAGAAAAAAGUAUUAGAAGAAAUGCAGGCACUAAUCUACCCCUCAGAUGCUCAGAACUUAUCCGCAGAUGAACUAAAAGCUUUAAAAAAAAUUACAGCAUAAUAAUAAUGUCAUUAUUAGGAGAUCAGAUAAGGGGGGUAAUGUGGUUUUAAUGCCUAAGGAAUAUUAUAUUAAAGAAUCCAUGAGACAAUUAAAUAACACAAAUAUCUAUAAACAGCUAUCGAGUA